rnacentral:rRNA from 1 species
UACGUAGGGUGCGAGCGUUGUCCGGAAUUAUUGGGCGUAAAGAGCUCGUAGGCGGUCUGUCGCGUCGGUCGUGAAAACUUGGGGCUUAACCCUGAGCUUGCGUUCGAUACGGGUGGGCUGGAGUUCGGUAGGGGAGACUGGAAUUCCUGGUGUAGCGGUGAAAUGCGCAGAUAUCAGGAGGAACACCGGUGGCGAAGGCGGGUCUCUGGGCCGAUACUGACGCUGAGGAGCGAAAGCGUGGGGAGCAAACAGG